rnacentral:rRNA from 1 species
AUGGCACAUGCUGUUGUCUUCAAAGGCGCAAGUCGCCACAAGAGGGAUCCGCGGCCGAUUAGCUUGUUGGCGAGGUAAUGGCUCACCAAGGCAUUGAUCGGUAGCCGGACUGAGAGGUUGGCCGGCCACACUGGAACUGAGACACGGUCCAGACUCCUACGGGAGGCAGCAGUGGGGAAUCUUGCACAAUGGACGAAAGUCUGAUGCAGCAACGCCGCGUGGGGGAUGAAGCUUCUCGGAGUGUAAGCCCCUUUCGACCCGGAAGAAUGCCCGCAAGGGUAUGACGGUACGGGUAUAAGAAGCCCCGGCUAACUACGUGCCAGCAGCCCGCGGUAAUACGUAGGGGGCCAGCGUUGCUCGGAAUUACUGGGCGUAAAGGGUCCGUAGGCGGUGUAGCAAGUCGAUAGUGAAAUCUCUGGGCUUAACCCAGAGGCUUGCUAACAAAACUGCUGUGCUAUAAGUGUGAGAAAAGGCCAGUGGAAUUACCGGGUGUAGCCGGU